rnacentral:rRNA from 1 species
UGGGGAAUUUUGGACAAUGGGCGAAAGCCUGAUCCAGCAAUGCCGCGUGUGUGAAGAAGGCCUUCGGGUUGUAAAGCACUUUUGUCCGGAAAGAAAUCCUUGGCUCUAAUACAGUCGGGGGAUGACGGUACCGGAAGAAUAAGCACCGGCUAACUACGUGCCAGCAGCCGCGGUAAUACGUAGGGUGCAAGCGUUAAUCGGAAUUACUGGGCGUAAAGCGUGCGCAGGCGGUUUGCUAAGACCGAUGUGAAAUCCCCGGGCUCAACCUGGGAACUGCAUUGGUGACUGGCAGGCUAGAGUAUGGCAGAGGGGGGUAGAAUUCCACGUGUAGCAGUGAAAUGCGUAGAGAUGUGGAGGAAUACCGAUGGCGAAGGCAGCCCCCUGGGCCAAUACUGACGCUCAUGCACGAAAGCGUGGGGAGCAAACAGGAUUCAGAUACCCUGGUAGUCCACGCCCUAAACGAUGUCAACUAGUUGUUGGGGAUUCAUUUCCUUAGUAACGUAGCUAACGCGUGAAGUUGACCGCCUGGGGAGUACGGUCGCAAGAUUAAAACUUAAAGGAA